AGAGUUUGAUCAUGGCUCAGAUUGAACGCUGGCGGCAUGCCUUACACAUGCAAGUCGAGCGGCAGCGCGGGGGCAACCCUGGCGGCGAGCGGCGGACGGGUGAGUAAUACAUCGGAACGUGUCCUUUCGUGGGGGGAUAACCAGUCGAAAGACUGGCUAAUACCGCAUGAGAUCUCACGAUGAAAGCGGGGGACCGCAAGGCCUCGCGCGAUUGGAGCGGCCGAUGUCGGAUUAGCUAGUUGGCGGGGUAAUGGCCCACCAAGGCGACGAUCCGUAGCUGGUUUGAGAGAACGACCAGCCACACUGGGACUGAGACACGGCCCAGACUCCUACGGGAGGCAGCAGUGGGGAAUUUUGGACAAUGGGCGCAAGCCUGAUCCAGCCAUGCCGCGUGUGUGAAGAAGGCCUUCGGGUUGUAAAGCACUUUCGGCCGGAACGAAAUCGCGCGGAUUAAUAACCCGCGUGGAUGACGGUACCGGAAGAAGAAGCACCGGCUAACUACGUGCCAGCAGCCGCGGUAAUACGUAGGGUGCGAGCGUUAAUCGGAAUUACUGGGCGUAAAGGGUGCGCAGGCGGCGUCGCAAGUCAGGCGUGAAAUCCCCGGGCUUAACCUGGGAAUGGCGCUUGAAACUACGAUGCUGGAGUAUGGCAGAGGGAGGUGGAAUUCCACGUGUAGCGGUGAAAUGCGUAGAGAUGUGGAGGAACACCGAUGGCGAAGGCAGCCUCCUGGGCCAAUACUGACGCUCAUGCACGAAAGCGUGGGGAGCAAACAGGAUUAGAUACCCUAGUAGUCC
rnacentral:rRNA from 1 species